AGUGAACGCUGGCGGUAUGCCUAACACAUGCAAGUCGAACGGAAGCACAGUAAGAUCUUGCUCUUACGGGUGGCGAGUGGCGGACGGGUGAGGAAUACAUCGGAAUCUACUUUUUCGUGGGGGCUAACGUAGGGAAACUUACGCUAAUACCGCAUACGACCUACGGGUGAAAGCAGGGGAUCUUCGGACCUUGCGCGAUUGAAUGAGCCGAUGUCGGAUUAGCUAGUUGGCGGGGUAAAGGCCCACCCAGGCGACGAUCCGUAGCUGGUCUGAGAGGAUGAUCAGCCACACUGGAACUGAGAGACGGUCCAGACUCCUACGGGAGGCAGCAGUGGGGAAUAUUGGACAAUGGGCGCAAGCCUGAUCCAGCCAUACCGCGUGGGUGAAGAAGGCCUUCGGGUUGUAAAGCCCUUUUGUUGGGAAAGAAAAGCAGCAGGUUAAUACCCCGCUGUUCUGACGGUACCCAAAGAAUAAGCACCGGCUAACUUCGUG
rnacentral:rRNA from 1 species